rnacentral:lncRNA from 1 species
AAGUUAUUUUUAUUUUAUUUUUAGCCACUUAGCUAAAAAGAAAACCUUAAAAAUAUUAUUAUUCUUUGUUUGAAACCCCUUUGAACAUAUUUAUCCCAUUCUUUGAUUGAAACUCAUUACAAGUCUAAAAGUGAAAAACAACGAUAUCACCCUAUUUAAGGGAAUGAAGUAGUCUUUUUUGGAGUUGUGUGGGGUUCAAUUACACAUGUUUGAUGUUUCAAAGUUGGCAGAAAAAAAAAAGAAAAAAAAAGAAAUAGAAAAAACCAAUAAGGAAGAAUAUUCAUGUUCUUAUCAUAUUCUUUAUGGGAAAAAGAAGAAGAAAAAAAGAGAAAAAGAAAAUGCAAAGGAAAGAGAAAAUAGUUGCUGCAAAGUUGUUGUUUGAAAGUGAAUGGAAUUUUAUUUAGUUCAACUCCCA